GAUGAACGCUGGCGGCGUGCCUAAUACAUGCAAGUCGAGCGAACAGACGAGGAGCUUGCUCUUCUGACGUUAGCGGCGGACGGGUGAGUAACACGUGGAUAACCUACCUAUAAGACUGGGAUAACUUCGGGAAACCGGAGCUAAUACCGGAUAAUAUAUUGAACCGCAUGGUUCAAUAGUGAAAGACGGUUUUGCUGUCACUUAUAGAUGGAUCCGCGCCGCAUUAGCUAGUUGGUAAGGUAACGGCUUACCAAGGCAACGAUGCGUAGCCGACCUGAGAGGGUGAUCGGCCACACUGGAACUGAGACACGGUCCAGACUCCUACGGGAGGCAGCAGUAGGGAAUCUUCCGCAAUGGGCGAAAGCUUGACGGAGCAACGCCGCGUGAGUGAUGAAGGUCUUCGGAUCGUAAAACUCUGUUAUUAGGGAAGAACAAAUGUGUAAGUAACUAUGCACGUCUUGACGGUACCUAAUCAGAAAGCCACGGCUAACUACGUG
rnacentral:rRNA from 1 species